UACGAAGGGGGCUAGCGUUGUUCGGAAUUACUGGGCGUAAAGCGCACGUAGGCGGAUACUUAAGUCAGGGGUGAAAUCCUGGAGCUCAACUCCAGAACUGCCUUUGAUACUGAAGAUCUUGAGUCCGGGAGAGGUGAGUGGAACUGCGAGUGUAGAGGUGAAAUUCGUAGAUAUUCGCAAGAACACCAGUGGCGAAGGCGGCUCACUGGCCCGGUACUGACGCUGAGGUGCGAAAGCGUGGGGAGCGAACAGG
rnacentral:rRNA from 1 species